GGGGUUGUGGCUCAGUGGUAGAGCACUUGCCUAGCAAUUAUGAGGCCCUGGGUUCAAUUCUCAGCACCA
rnacentral:tRNA from 1 species